rnacentral:rRNA from 1 species
GAUGAACGCUGGCGGCGUGCCUAAUACAUGCAAGUCGAGCGAACGGACGAGAAGCUUGCUUCUCUGAUGUUAGCGGCGGACGGGUGAGUAACACGUGGAUAACCUACCUAUCAGACUGGGAUAACUUCGGGAAACCGGAGCUAAUACCGGAUAAUAUUUUGAACCGCAUGGUUCAAAAGUGAAAGACGGUCUUGCUGUCACUUAUAGAUGGAUCCGCGCUGCAUUAGCUAGUUGGUAAGGUAACGGCUUACCAAGGCAACGAUGCAUAGCCGACCUGAGAGGGUGAUCGGCAACACUGGAACUGAGACACGGUCCAGACUCCUACGGGAGGCAGCAGUAGGGAAUCUUACGCAAUGGGCGAAAGCAUGACGGAGCAACGCCGCGUGAGUGAUGAAGGUCUUCGGAUCGUAAAACUCUGUUAUUAGGGAAGAACAGAUGUGUAAGUAACUGUGCACAUCGUGACGGUACCGAAUCAGAAAGCCACGGCUAACUACGUG